AAGGGAAAACUUCUGUUGUGAUUUGAAACUCGAUGAAACGAAAAAGCCACACUAAAAAGAGACAAACAGAUACAUCUAUAGGGUUUAAUGGAAUAACAAAUCAAUUAUAUA